UACAGAGGUCUCAAGCGUUGUUCGGAUUCAUUGGGCGUAAAGGGUGCGUAGGUGGCCAGGUAAGUUCGGUGUGAAAGCUCGGAGCUUAACUCCGAAAUGGCAUUGAAUACUAUCUGGCUAGAGGGUCGGAGGGGAGACUGGAAUUCUCGGUGUAGCAGUGAAAUGCGUAGAUAUCGAGAGGAACACCAGUGGCGAAGGCGAGUCUCUGGACGACUCCUGACACUGAGGCACGAAAGCCAGGGGAGCAAACAGG
rnacentral:rRNA from 1 species